GUAUGUAUGUAAUAGUCACAUAUGUAGAGGGGAAAAUGACCUUGACAGGUACUUUAAAGGGGGAAUGAGGUACAUCGAUUGCAGAAACAGCUCUACCUGCCCACCCUUUCCUGUAUCCAAGCCCUUUGCAAAGUGACAUUGCAGUUCCUCCCAUUAAGAGGUGGCUGCUAUUUCCCUACCGUUUGAAUACAGGAUGAUCUGUGACUUGCUUUGUCCAAUAGAGUGCAGAGAAAGUGAUGCCGUGCCAGUUCUGAUUCUAGGCCUCCAGAGGCCUUGCAGGCUACUGCCACCCCGUGAGGAUGUGGCCAGGCAAGCCUGCUGCAGAAAAGAGACCACAGAGAGUACAGCAGAGCCGCAACAGCUGAAGUGUCAUAGACCAGCCAACCCCCAAGCCAACUCAGCAGCGAAAUGUUCAUGCAAGAGCCAGUCCAGCUGAGAUCAGCUAAGCCUGGCCCAAAUUGACAGAACUGCUCAGUCAUCUUACAGACAAACAGAAACCAUGGGAACUAAAAUCCAGAGAGAUGAAAUAAUCUAAGUUUCUACAGCUAACAAGUCACAAGGAUUUCCCUGACUUCAAAGUCCAUCUUUUCUUCACUCCAACAUGCUGCCUUAUAAACCUAAUUCUUUUCUGAUGGAAUUGUUUGAUGUUUUUGUUGACUGUGGGGGAUAUUAGAUGUAGCAGAUAUUUAUUAUUUUUUGGUACGUCAGCACUCAACCUUGAUCUCUCCUUGGGAGCAGUUUGCCAUUGCAAGCCCUCCUGGGUGGGAGCUAUUCCCGCAAAUUCUUUUCCCCCAUUGGGCUCUGCCUAAGGAAUACAGCAACCAGGCAGAAGACAGCAGUUACACAAAACAUUCUGAAAUUCAUUCCAGUUGGUUUCUGUGAUCCCAUGCCUAGAAAAUGUACACAAUUCACUGAGCAACAUAGCUCGCCCUAGGCCCUUGUACUUGGUGGAAGUCAGCCUUUGUAUUUCUCUCGAAGUGGUUUAAUUCUUAGUGGAUGAACUAUCAGUGUAUAAUUGGGAGUAGGUGCCAGAGUGUUUCUAUCUAAAGAAGCCCAAACUGUUGUGAGAUCUUCAGUUUCCAGGGUUAGAUCAAUGCAGCUUGACUCAGCUCAGUGGAGCCUAGCACAAUUUAGCACAAUUAAAUUCAGCUCGGUGGACCUCAGCUCAUGUUACCUUAGCUGGCCAGGCUCAGCUCAACUCAGCUCAGAGCUCACAUCAGCUCAGCUUAGCCCAACAUGCUGUCUUUAACACCGCCCAGUUUGGCUCAAUUCAACACCGCCCAACGGUACUCACCUUACUCAGUUCAACCCUACUCAACCUAAUGGAGCUCAGUUGGCCACAGCUUUGUUCAGUCAAUCACAGAGGCAUUUAUUGAGCACCAAAGCUGGACACUCUGAAGGCUGUUUCAUCCAGGAACUCAUAAUUUAGUCACUGAAACAGUUUGCAUAUAAGGAAGAAUGUUUAUAGUAAUCCAUAAGCGAAGACUAUGAAAGCUGGAUGGAAGAGACAUCUACUCAUCACUGAAGAUGUUGAGAAAGCUUCUUGAAAGUCACGUUAUUUCAGGUAAAAUUUAAUUUUGACUAAUGAUGAAGAGCUGGGGCAAGAAGGCAGUGCAGAAAGAGGAAAUAUCCUGGUAUUAGGUUGGAGCAAAAGUAAUUGCGGUGGUUUUUGCCAUCACUUUCAAUGGCAAAAACUGCCGCAAUUACUUUUACAUCAAUCCAGUUAAUGCCUGGAAGUGGUGGAGUAAAUGGAAUGACUGGGGAGUGGGUGUAGAGUGAGUGUCACAGGAGAAAACACUCAAAGGCGGGAAGGGGUGAGAUUCAAGGCAGCUCUGAGUGGCAUGCUCAGGAGUUUGGACUUUUUCUGUCAGAAUAGUAAUCUACUAGGCAAUUUCAUUUUAUUCUUACAAAAAUCCUGGGAACCAUUUAGGUUAGGGAUGCUAAUUCCCAUUUUACAGAUGAAGAAAUGGAGGCUUAGAGAAGAAGUUAAUGCCUGUCCAGGUAGAGGAUAGUCGAGUUGGAAAUUAAACCACUUGGAGAGAGCAGUAUCCUUUUUAUUUUUAUAUCCUUGGGCCUACAGCUGGUAUUCAAGAGCUGGAGUAGGGUGUGAUUCAAGCUAUAUUUUCAUACCGUAGAUUUCCAGAGAGCAGAGGAGGGAUAGGAAGUGGUUGACACAGGAAUAUAGUUAGAAGAGAAUGAGAAGAGAAUGAGUAUCUGGCAAAAGGUAGGUGCCUCAGGGAUUACGGAGGGUAAGUGUUUGCUAAACACAUGUCUUCAAGUUCUCACAAAGUGUCUUGCAGUAUCUAGACCUCAUUUAAUUGAGUUCUAAGAUCAUGGUCUCAGUUUUCCAAGC
rnacentral:lncRNA from 10 species